UACGUAGGUGGCAAGCGUUGUCCGGAAUUAUUGGGCGUAAAGCGCGCGCAGGCGGUUCUUUAAGUCUGAUGUGAAAGCCCACGGCUCAACCGUGGAGGGUCAUUGGAAACUGGAGAACUUGAGUACAGAAGAGGAAAGUGGAAUUCCACGUGUAGCGGUGAAAUGCGUAGAGAUGUGGAGGAACACCAGAAGCGAAGGCGAUUACCUGGGCCAUUAUUGACGCUGAGGCAUGAAAGCGUGGGGAGCAAACAGG
rnacentral:rRNA from 1 species